rnacentral:rRNA from 1 species
AGCGAACGCUGGCGGCAGGCUUAACACAUGCAAGUCGAGCGGGCGUAGCAAUACGUCCGCGGCAGACGGGUGAGUAACGCGUGGGAACGUACCUUUUGGUUCGGAACAACACAGGGAAACUUGUGCUAAUACCGGAUAAGCCCUUACGGGGAAAGAUUUAUCGCCGAAAGAUCGGCCCGCGUCUGAUUAGCUAGUUGGUGAGGUAACGGCUCACCAAGGCGACGAUCAGUAGCUGGUCUGAGAGGAUGAUCAGCCACAUUGGGACUGAGACACGGCCCAAACUCCUACGGGAGGCAGCAGUGGGGAAUAUUGGACAAUGGGGGCAACCCUGAUCCAGCCAUGCCGCGUGAGUGAUGAAGGCCCUAGGGUUGUAAAGCUCUUUUGUGCGGGAAGAUAAUGACGGUACCGCAAGAAUAAGCCCCGGCUAACUUCGUG